ensembl:lncRNA
CGAGAACAAGUAAGUGAUAAAACAAUCUUUAUUUAAAUAUUUAAAAAUAGCUUGGGGAAUAGGAAAAGGGCAAUUAAAACUAAACUCUGACUCGGCCCUCCAGAUGGGCUAUGGCCGGGAAGAGGUCAGGGAGCAAGGGGGCCACGGGGAUCCGGGGCGUGGGACUCGGGCCCCGGCCUGAGUCUUAGGUAUCCGUAGCGCCCUCCUUCUUCCUCCUCUUCGCUGAAUACAGCUCACGGUAAGUACUGGUUCACACAGUUCGUUCUCGGGGUGCUCACUCUCUUUCUCUUCCUCCACAGGCAACGGCUGGGACACACAGGCACAGUUAGUUCAGCUUGGUUUUGCUCUCACCUCUUCGCUGAUUACAGCUCACAGUAAGUACUGGUUCACACAGUUCGUUCCUUGGGUGCUCACUCGCUUUCUCUUUCUCCACAGGCAGCGGCGUAAGUACAGGUUUCCUCGGUCUCUCCUCGUGUUACCCACUCUCUCUCCUUUUCUCUCCACAGGUAUCAACUUGGGCACAAUAGCACAGUUAGUUUGCUUUGAAUGGCUCUCACCUCUGGGCUGGACACAGCGUACUGUAAGUACAGGGUUCGCUCUAUUCCUCCUCGUGUUAUUCACUCUCUCUCCUUUUCUCUCCACAGGUAUCAACUUGGGCACAAUAGCACAGUUACUCUGCUUUGGAUGGCUUUCACCUCUGGGCUGGACACAGCGUACUGUGCUAUCUCCGGAGAUCUGAAGCACGCUCACAACAUAUACUGUACUGAACUAGGCUAGGACCAGCAGUCUCCUUGUCCUCCCGCGACGAAGUGCGUGAAGGCGGGGGUUUAUCUGACAGGACACACGGCAAUACACAGCAGCCCACAGCAAUAUACAGCACCACGUCAAAAUUAUAGGUUUUCACAGCAUGAAGACUCACCCACCACACUCAGUGUACGAAAAGGACACCCGUCUUCCUUCACUUCGCUUGGUUCGGAUCUGGCGAUG